GUGGAAGGAAGGAAGGAAGGAAGGAAGGAAGGAAGAACAUUCACAAGCAUCGCCAGCUUCACUUUUGCAUUUUACCCAAGACAUACCCUAGGUGGCGCUGUGCAAUUUAUUAGUGAGAUUUUUUUUUUUUUUUUUUUUUAAAAAACGCUACUACUUCCGCUUCCUGUCUUUUGUGGCGGCGCCUACAUCGCAGUUUUCAACUCUCAUUUGUUUUUCAAGUAAUAACAAAAGUUCAAAGUGAUGUACGUCAGUGAUCGAACUCUGGACAGGAUAUAUUCUUUUAUCCUGCUGGUGGUUGUGCUCUUGUCUUGGGGAUAUGUGAUCUAUGGGACCAGAAUAGCUGCACAGUGGCAUCUGGAGAACAAACUGAAGAUGCAGACUUGAAGUUUGUACAGGCGAAUGGGGAUGCAGCACAUGACAGAAGAACAGAACUCAUAGCUCGUAUUAUUUGUGCAGCCGUGUUGAGCCAAGAAGAGCCGAUUCAUUCUGCCGGGACUCGACGUCACAAAGGGUUAGGGUGCAGACAGGAAAAGGACGUUAAAAUGCGUUAUUUCUGCGAUCACGCAGAACUGGACAAUUGUUGGACGUGUAUUUCCUACUGAGUAAACAAACAAUCAGAGUGACACCGAAAUGAGUGCAGCGGCACUUGUUUGUGUACAAGUUGGUGCCCGUUCGUUGCGUUGGGAACAUGAAUGAUGAAACACUGCCGGCCGCCGUCCUGUUUGUUGUGACACUCAGCCCUAUCGCGGGCUAUUUUCUCUCUCUUCUCUAAUGAAAUCAAAGCUUAAAAGCACAUGUGACGUGGAAGGUUUCAUUGG
rnacentral:lncRNA from 1 species